CCUACGGGCGGCAGCAGUGGGGAAUAUUGCACAAUGGGGGAAACCCUGAUGCAGCGACGCCGCGUGAGUGAAGAAGUAUUUCGGUAUGUAAAGCUCUAUCAGCAGGAACGAGACAAGACGGUAACUGACUAAGAAGCCCCGGCUAACUACGUGCCAGCAGCCGCGGUAAUACGUAGGGGGCAAGGGUUAUCCGGAACAACUGGGUGGAAAGGGAGCGUAGACGGCUGAGCAAGCCUGAAGUGAAAGGCGGGGGCCCAACCCCUGGACUGCUUUGGGAACUGUACGGCUGGAGUGCAGGGGAGGUAAGUGGCAUUCCUAGUGUAGCGGGGAAAUGCGUAGAUAUUAGGAGGAACACCAGUGGCGAAGGCGGCUUACUGGACUGUAACUGACGUUGAGGCUCGAAAGCGUGGGGAGCAAACAGGAUUAGAUACCCUAGUAGUC
rnacentral:rRNA from 1 species